rnacentral:rRNA from 1 species
GCUUGUCUCAAAGAUUAAGCCAUGCAUGUCUAAGUAUAAACGAUUUUAUACGUGAAACUGCGAAUGGCUCAUUAUAUCAGUUAUAGUUUAUUUGAUGGUCCUUACUAUUUGGAUAACCGUAGUAAUUCUAGAGCUAAUACAUGCAUCAAGCCCUGACUUCGGAAGGGGUGUAUUUAUUAGAUGGAAACCAAUGCGUAGCUUCGGUUGCGGUAUUGAGUUGAAUCAUAAUAACUGUGCGGAUCGUGCUUCGGCGCGAUAGAUCAUAUAAGUUUCUGCCCUAUCAGCUUUGGAUGGUAGUGUAUCGGACUACCAUGGCUUUAACGGGUAACGGGGAAUUAGGGUUCGAUUCCGGAGAGGGAGCCUGAGAAACGGCUACCACAUCCAAGGAAGGCAGCAGG